rnacentral:rRNA from 1 species
AUGGAGUCCGACGGCGAGCAGGAGGCGGCGGCCACGCCGACGCUGGGAGCCUCCGCGGGGGCGCCGUCGGCAGGACGGCUGAAGGGCUGCCCGGAGCUCUCGCUGGAGGGCGACAUGCGAGAGAUGGCCAAGACGGCCGUCUGGAGCGUCAGCUCCAGCAAGCCCGGCAAUGGCGUUGCCUCCCUACGCGAUGACAGCCUCGACACCUACUGGCAGUCGGACGGUGCGCAACCGCACCUGGUCAACAUCCAGUUCCAGAAGAAGGUGCAGCUGCAGCUUGUUGUGCUGUACGUGGAUUUUAAGCUGGACGAGAGCUACACGCCGAGCAAGAUCUCCAUCCGGGCCGGCGACGGCUUGCACAAUCUCAAGGAAAUUAAAACGGUGGAACUUUCAAAGCCAGUAGGAUGGGUUCAUAUAUCAUUAUCUGGCACUGAUCCCCGAGAAACAUUCAUUCAUGCAUUUAUGCUCCAAAUCGCGGUGUUGGCCAAUCACCUGAAUGGGAGGGACACUCAUGUCCGACAGAUUAAGAUAUACGGGCCAAGACUGAACCCCGUUCCUCACCAGCAUUUCCACUUCAUUUCCAGGGAAUGCAUAAUGUACUCUAGCGUCAGGUGA